AGUGAACGCUGGCGGCGUGCUUAAUACAUGCAAGUCGAACGAUGAAGUCCUAGCUUGCUAGGAUGGAUUAGUGGCGCACGGGUGAGUAAUAUAUAGUUAAUCUGCGUUGCACUGAGGAACAACAGUUGGAAACGAUUGCUAAUACCUCAUACUCCAACUUUACAUAAGUUAAGUUGGGAAAGUCUUUUCGGUGCAAGAUGAGACUAUAUCGUAUCAGCUAGUUGGUAAGGUAAUGGCUUACCAAGGCUAUGACGCGUAACUGGUCUGAGAGGAUGAUCAGUCACAUUGGAACUGAGACACGGUCCAAACUCCUACGGGAGGCAGCAGUAAGGAAGAUUGUGCAAUGGGGGAAACCCUGACGCAGCAACGCCGCGUGGAGGAUGACACUUUUCGGAGCGUAAACUCCUUUUGUUAGGGAAGAAUAAUGACGGUACCUAACGAAUAAGCACCGGCUAACUCCGUG
rnacentral:rRNA from 1 species